CCGACCCGUCCACAUCUACGAAAAGUGGGUUGUACUAGAAGUCUGCGAGCUAACCCGCAAGGGGAGCAGCGGCCCAAGGUAUGACUCAUGAUUGGGGUG
rnacentral:rRNA from 1 species